AUUGAACGCUGGCGGCAGGCCUAACACAUGCAAGUCGAACGAGUGGCGGACGGGUGCGUAAUGUCUGGGAAACUGCCCGAUGGAGGGGGAUAACUACUGGAAACGGUAGCUAAUACCGCAUACCAUCGGAUGUGCCCAGAUGGGAUUAGCUUUUAGGUGUGGUAGCGGCUCACCUAGGCGACGAUCCCUAGCUGGUCUGAGAGGAUGACCAGCCACACGGGAACUGAGACACGGUCCAGACUCCGACGGGAGGCAGCAGUGGGGAAUAUUGCACAAUGGGUGGAGGCCGGAUGCAGCGAUGCAGAGUGUAUGAAGAAGGCCUUAGGGUUGUAAAGUACUUGCAGCGGGGAGGCGGUACCAGCAGAAGAAGCACCGGCUAACUCCGUGCCAGCAGCCGCGGUAAUAC
rnacentral:rRNA from 1 species